AAAAGAGUGAAAAGGGAAGAGGACUGGUCUUCAUGUGUUUGGAUUUUGAGUUUACUUGCAACGACAUCUCGACAAAGUAUACAUAUCCUUUUGACGAUUCCAAGGUUGGAUAUUUUCCUAUAUUAAAGAUUCCGAUGAAACAUUGAAAACUUAACAACAUUCCAAAUUUUGAUUUUGGUGAAGCAUAGAUUCUUACUUUCCUAAUCUUUCAGAUCAGCAACUUCAACUUCAGGAAUCUCCCAACUCAUAUUUGGGCUAAGCAGAUGUUAGUCCUUUUCUGAUUCUGGAAAGGAUUGCGAGCUUGUGACUAAGAUGGGGACGCCUAUGAAACGCAGCUCAAACUCAAGAAGACGGAAUGAAAAGAUGAGGCUUUUUGUGACUACUUUUAUUGGAGUUGUAUUCGGAUUUUUCCUAGGUGUAACCUUUCCUACAAUUUCAUUGUCCAAGCUGCCCUUACCUACUAAUCUUAUCCCAUCGAUUGAUCCACCUGACAUGGAAAAGUCGGGCCUCUCAACUCAAGCUCUAUUAAAUGUUUUGAAAUCCUUGAGGGAUCGUGUGGGCAGUUUACACAAGAAUAAGACCCCGAAGAUUUGGGUUCCAUCAAAUCCCAGAGGCGCCGAGAGGCUACCCCCGGUAUUGUAGCUUCUGAGUCUGAUCUUUAUACUCGAAGGCUGUGGGGCCUGCCAAGUGAGGACUUGAUCAUCAAGCCAAGGUACCUUGUGACCUUCACAGUUGGCCUCAAGCAGAAGAGUAACAUUGAUGCAGCAGUGAAAAAGUUUUCAGAGAACUUUACCAUUAUGCUGUUUCACUAUGACGGCCGAACAACUGAAUGGGAUGACCUUGAGUGGUCAUCGCGGGCUAUCCAUGUCAGUACACCAAAACAGACUAAAUGGUGGUAUGCAAAACGUUUUCUACAUCCUGACAUUGUAGCACCAUAUGACUAUAUAUUCAUCUGGGAUGAAGACUUGGGGCUUGAAAAUUUUAACGCGGAGGAAUAUAUAAAGUUGGUGAUGAAACAUGGUUUGGAUAUUUCACAGCCUGGUUUAGAACCAAACAGUGGGUUGACAUGGCAGAUGACAAAAGGGAGAAAUGACACUGAAGUUCACAAGGAAACAGAGGAAAGGCCAGGCUGGUGCACUGAUCCACAUUUGCCACCUUGUGCAGCAUUUGUUGAGAUCAUGGCACCGGUUUUCUCUCGAGAGGCGUGGCGGUGUGUUUGGCAUAUGAUCCAGAAUGACUUGGUCCAUGGAUGGGGCCUUGAUUUUGCGCUUAGGAGAUGUGUGGAGCCCGCUCAUGAAAAGAUAGGAGUUGUAGAUGCUCAGUGGAUUGUACAUCAAACUGUUCCAUCUCUUGGAAGCCAGGGUAAAUCGGAGAAUGGCAAGGCACCAUGGGAAGGGGUAAGAGAAAGGUGUCGGAGAGAAUGGACAAUGUUUCAGGAUCGCAUGGCUACUGCAGAGAUGGCCUAUUACAAGGCAAUGGGAAUGGAUCCCCCUAAUUCCACAACUAAUUAGGUGACUCACUAGUUUAGAAUGCUUGUAGAAUUUCCGACUUCUUUUGUGUGCAAAUAUCUAAUACUACUUGUUUAGAGUUCCAAGUGUGGGUAGAAAGAAAUAUAUGUAUUCUCCUUAUAUUAAUAUAAUUCAUCUUUUGUUUUGUGUUCUA